ensembl:lncRNA
AUGGGGGGGCCGGAGUCACGUAAAUCAAAGCGUCGCAUCAUAGAGACACAGGCUUGUCCACCUCCAGUUGCUGCCAACCCCAUUGAGCUGCUGCCAUGUUGUCAUGGUUACAUGGGAGGGGCCAGUCUUUACAACUCCAGGAAGUCAGAGGAGGAGCUUAACUUGAGCUCUCCUCCCAAACGGAUGUAUGCCCUGUACCACACAUCUUACAAUGGGAAUACUGCAUUCUCCAGGAAUCACCACCAUUACAGCAGUGUGGAGGACAGCUGCAGGUUACCGCCACCAUGCUACCCAUACCCCAUUAAUUCCAACGGCAGCCAUCACCACCACCACCAGCACCAGCACCAUCACAGCCACCAAAACAACCACCAGCACCAGCACCAGCACCAGUCGGGGCAGAAGCAGCUGGAUCCACUCAUCCUACGUGAUCUGCCACCUUACCAGGCCAGCAUGAGCAGCGGGGGUGGCGGCGGCAGUGUGGGUGGAAGUGGAGGUGGAGGCGGAGGCGGAGGGGGAGUGGGAGGGGGCGGAGGAGGUGGUGAUGGUGGUGGAGGUGGUGGUGGAGGAGGAGGAGGAGGAGGAGGAGGAGGAGGAGGAGGAGGAGGGAUGGGAAUUGGAGGCGGCAGCGGGACAGUGGCCAGGAGCUGGGGCGGAGGGGAGGCAGUGAGGAUCUUGGCGAGACGUGUCACGCCAGACGGGAAGGUUCAGUACCUUGUGGAGUGGGAGAACGUGAGUUUGUACUAAGACGAAGAGCAUAAACACGAGACACAAUGACUGUUUUGCAGUUGCCACAGUAAUACUGUGUAUGUAAUAUGUGGCAGUGUUUAAAGUACAAAGAAAAAGAAAAAGGUUAAAAAAAAAAAAAAAUACACGUAUCAAAAUCCAGGUUGCUCUGAUAGUAUCACCUCUAUUCAUUAUAACCUCACUACUCGUUACUAAAUGUCCCUCUUUGCUAGUGUUUAUCUGAUAUUUGUACUGUUAACUUUGGAAUAUGCCUUUGCAUUUAUCACGUUUUACAGUGAUGAGUGAAGUAUUUAAACCUCCUGAUGAUUUGUCAACGUAUGGGCUACAUGCACAAUGCACAGCUGACACACAAUACUGUUGAUGAGCGACAACAAUACAGAACAAAAAAAAAGUCUUCAUGUUCAAUUUCCAGUUCUGUAAUUUUAGUUAACACAAAGAAAACAUCCACAGCUAGUCAUGUAGACGAGGUGCUGCUAAUUCAGUAAGUUUUAAUGUAUUCGACCAACACACGCAGAGGAAACAAAUAGCCUUGGUUUGCUAAAGGAAAAAAAAAAAAAAGAAAAGCACCAUAUACCACAAAUGUGUAAUUAGCACAAAAACCAAAGAGCAAAGUUGUGGUUUUAUUUAAGAGGCUCAAUUCUGGAAGAGAAGUAAAGUAAGUUGCUGUGUGUGACUGUGAAAUUGUCUUGUUAGUCACAAUGCUAAGCUGUCCGUAGCUUGAGAUUCAGUAACAGUUUCUAAUAAAACAUUCUAAUGAUUUGAAAUUGAAUGAAUAUACGAAUCAACAGCAUGCAUUAGGAUGUCAUUUGAAAUGUGUAACAAAAGGUUGCCCCUUCCUACCAAAGUCAGAUCAGACAACAUUUUAAGGACCUGACAACAAUCACCAAGUUUAUUAAACGUUAUGAGCGGAUAUUUGAAAUUAAGCCUUUUUAAAAGUAACAAAAGCAAUUCAUAUUUAAAAAGAAACGUUUCCCGUAGCCCUCGUUGUUGAGUUACGAGCAAGCUGAACAACCAGGAGCCAACACCGACCAUACUUCCAUCAGCCUGCACUUUUAUAACCUCUCAUUCAUCAACUGAUGGUUAAGUGCUCACGUGGAGUUCAGUGAGAAAAUUAGCCCAGAAGAUUAGCAGUGAUGGAUGAGCCGUCAUCAGCGAGGGCCAUGAUGACAGCUGGGUGGCUGCUAAUGGCUGCUUAUGAAAAAGCAGUAACCUUUUAUUGGCCAGAAUGAGACAGAGCAGUUUUUUUGGCCUCACAGAAGGUAGUUUAUGCGUUGCCUAAAGACUCUGAACAGCGGGACUCUCCCAGCCCCCUCGUUUGCUUAGAUGCCGUUUCCUUAUUUUUGGCUCCAUUAGCAACAAAUUCUCUGGAGGUUUUUGUAUUUUUUCCUCAUCGCAGUAUGUUAAUAAAAGAUUGUAUACAUGUUAUUACGAGGUUACUUAUUUGUUAUGUUAGAUUUUGUCAUACAUAAUUUACAUUUAGACUAUUAUCUGUAUUAGAUAUAGGAGCCACGAGAGGGCUUUUGUUUUAUAGAUAGAAUUAUAUAUUCCCAAUAUAUUGCUAUGAUCGAAUAACUUUAUUUUAUUUUUUGACGUGGUUGCAUAGUGCCUAUAUGGGUUGUGUACCUGCCGAUUGGUCAAUCAGACAACAGAUGAACGAGGCCAUAUUGCUUCAAAACGAGAGGAUGGCUCCUCGCCAGCUAACAGUUAAAACCACAUGGGUAAAUGACGAGCGGUUAAAUUGUGUUUUUUGGUCAGGUCUGUGAUCAAACUGUACAUUCCAAACCAACAACAACACACACACACAGACACACACCAAAAAAAAAAAAAAAAAAAAAAAGAAAAGAAAAAAAUAUAGCCUAUGUGUUACUGAAACGUCAUCAGGAUGGAAAUUACGUUGAAAGAAUGCGCUUUUUGUUUUCGAUUGAGUGUUAAAUGUCAGAAGGAUGAGCUGAAGGUCCAGACGCUCUGCUGCUGCUUCGCGUCGCACGGCGCUCAGAGAUACAGUUCAGGUUGAGAAGACGAUGACAGUCCUACGGUGUGCAAUUAGAAAGGUGCAACAUGGCAGCAUGGUCAGUUUUGAUGGUAAUGAUGUCGUCCCUUCUUAAAUGUUUUUUCGAAGCAAGAGGGGCACUGAAGUUGGGUUUUAUCUUCGUGCAAACAGGUUACAUAAAUCUAGAAUACUGUGGUGCAAGUUUCAGAGUUUAUAUUUUAUACAGAGGUUUAUUUCAGCAAUCUGCUCGAUAAAACUUACACAUUUACAUUUGUCAGUUUUAUCUUUCACAAAAGACUGUAUCACAGCUUUAGUUGAAAAAAAAAAAAAAAGAAGACAAAUGCAGCAUUUAUACUGUCAUAAUCAAACCAAUGCAAAAAUCUAAGAUUUUAUUUCAAUACAGACCUCUCUGUUGAAUUAUCUCCUGCACCUAUGCGUACAUUUCAGGCCAGUGAAAUGAUGUUGCGUUCAAAUUUUCGUCAUCCUCCUUGGUGGCUAUUUGACUGUAGUUUAUUAGGAAGGGGUGUGUUGAACCUUUCUAGGCGAUGGUGAUGAAUGUAUUUGUGUGUUUUCUAUGGUAUGUCUAUACCCGUCAAGUGCUUGUUAUAGGUUGUACUUGAGGUGGAACUCAACCAGAUUAGUUUAAAACAAAAAAGGAGGAAAUAAAGACAUUGACAUUGAAGAACAAACUUUAUUUUGGGAGAGGAAAUCUUCUUUUACUGAUUAGUAGUCAAGUCCAUGUUCAGUUUGAUGUAUUUUUGGAGAAAUUACGUUUGUACAUGUAUACUCUGCAUUGACGCACUUAAUAUGUAACAUGAAGAAUAAAAAAAGUUUCACCUCAUACUUUGUGUUUUUUAUUUAAG